AAUACAGGUUUAUUUAGGGGGACAAUAAACAUCUCCGGCCCCAUAUGAGAUCUCCGACAACCUCUUUGGAGACUUCCGGUGAAGUACCAUAGAUCUAUUUGGGAGCAAUAAAUCUUUCCGACGACCUAUGAGAUCUCCGAUGACCUCUUUAGGGACCUCCGGCGAGGUUUUCAAAAAAGUCCGGUGAACGGAGAGCGGUGACCGAAAUCCGGCUGCCGAUGACUGGACUCCGGCGAUCACUUGAAUAAUCAAUCGUUCAUACAAUGUCUAUGGAAACUGUUGUGGAGGUACCUAAUGUCUCAUGGGAUGCUAUUGGUGAAUUGGACAAUGUCAAAAGAGAACUUCAAGAGCGGCGACCCCAUCUUUUUCAACCUAUACCCAAUUUUGUUCAAUUCUGUUUCAAUUUGAGACUGGGGCGGAGCUGGCCUUGCUGAUGCUAAUGUGAACUGGGAGAAUGUGACAGGUUCGUUUUCUGUGUACAUGCUUGGAAUAAAAUAAAACAUGAUUGCUUUAGGCCAGUUUGAGUUUUCUGUUGAUUUGAGAACUAGUACAUUAGAGUUAAGGCAAGAAGUUUAUGAUAUUUGUGUGAUUGUGUUACUCUAUAUGGUGUUUAGGAUAAAAAUUCAAUCUUGGGCUACAAAUGCUCAACUUGGUUGAUUACAGCGGCUAUGGCUGGUUUCUUCUUAUGAAUAUUGGCUAAAGGCCUUAAGCAUUUUUAGUGGAGAAAUAAGUGAAUGGUGCACUUCAGCAAGUCAGAGGGCAAAACAUUUAGGGGAAAAAGAGAGCAAACAGAAGAGGGAAAAAAACAAAAAACAAAAAAAAGGGAGAAGAGAACAGGGGAAGAAGGGGACAAAGAAGAGAUUUAGAGGAAGAAAGAAAAGGGGAGGGAGGAAGAAACAGAAGAAAUGAAAACAAGUGGCUCUCCAUCUCGGUAUUUGAUUUUAUGUUCGGCAAAUCAUGUAUUGGAAUUGGAUUUAUCAUACUAUCUGGUAGAGGCCAGGGCUACACAAAAUUCUCGACCUUGGCGUAAUGAGCAUGGGGUAUAGGAAGGAGCGUAGUGCUUAUUAAAUGUGUUUUUUGUUUUUGGAUUUUUUUUUUUUUUGCUGUUAUGGACAUUGUUUGAUGACUCGAUUUGUAUG